CUCAGUUCGGAUUGAAGUCUGCAACCCGACUUCAUGAAGCUGGAUUCGCUAGUAAUCGCGCAUCAGCCACGGCGCGGUGAAUACGUUCCCGGGCCUUGUACACACCGCCCGUCAAGCCAUGGGAGCCGGGGGUACCUGAAGUGCGUAACCGCAAAGAGCGCCCUAGGGUAAAACUGGUGACUGGGGCUAAGUCGUAACAAGGUAAC
rnacentral:rRNA from 1 species